AUUGAACGCUGGCGGCAUGCCUUACACAUGCAAGUCGAACGGCAGCACGGGUGCUUGCACCUGGUGGCGAGUGGCGAACGGGUGAGUAAUACAUCGGAACAUGUCCUGUAGUGGGGGAUAGCCCGGCGAAAGCCGGAUUAAUACCGCAUACGAUCUACGGAUGAAAGCGGGGGACCUUCGGGCCUCGCGCUAUAGGGUUGGUCGAUGGCUGAUUAGCUAGUUGGUGGGGUAAAGGCCUACCAAGGCGACGACAAGUAGCUGGUCUGAGAGGACGACCAGCCACACUGGGACUGAGACACGGCCCAGACUCCUACGGGAGGCAGCAGUGGGGAAUUUUGGACAAUGGGCGAAAGCCUGAUCCAGCAAUGCCGCGUGUGUGAAGAAGGCCUUCGGGUUGUAAAGCACUUUUGUCCGGAAAGAAAUCCUUGGCCCUAAUACGGUCGGGGGAUGACGGUACCGGAAGAAUAAGCACCGGCUAACUACGUG
rnacentral:rRNA from 1 species